CUCCACUUUUCGCAUGACUUGGACUUUGCUGGGAUUUGGUAAGUUAGCCCCACCUCGAAGUCGUCGAGGUCUUCUCGAGGGUCUGGUAAGUUAGCCCUCCAAAAUUUUUCUAAGAGUCUCCCUCCGCUUCUCGUGCAACUUGAGCUUUGCUGGGGUCUAAUAAGUUAGUCCUGCCUCGAAGUCAUCGAGGUCUUCUCGAGAGUCUAGUAAGUUAGCCCUC
rnacentral:lncRNA from 1 species